UUUUGUUUUAUUUUAUUUUCUUUCUUUUUUUUUUUUUUUUUUAAUUUGAGUGGCCUUUUAGACCCAUGAUCUAAUUUCUCUACAACCUAGAGCCAUAUUGGAUGUUACCACUCUUCCAUACCUAUGUCCCAAUCUCACAUUCUAUGAGGAUCAGCCACAGUACCAUCCCACUUGCCUGCUAUGAGUAUGUGUACUUGGUCAUAUGUUGAGCAGGGUAUAAACAGCUUGUCUGAUCAGCAAGGCUGUUUCUGAACAGGACAAAAAUAGAGUGUAGGAUUGGCUUUGACCUCAAGGCUCCUUGCAGAACUUUAGGACAUGUUAAUUCUUAGAGUCUAGAAACAGGGAGAGCUAUGUAAGUUUAUCACACACAUGAUAUAAAACCAUGACUUUGGAAAAACCUAGCUGGGAAUCAAACUAUUCCAUGAAGUGGUGGGCUUUGUGAAUCUUCUAUAUUCAUAAUUCUUAAUUAAUAACCAGUAUAAUUGGCCACUCAGGAUGUGCUAAGCAUUGUCUCUGAUCCUUACGACUUAGAAGGUAAGUACUUUGUCUUUUUCUUAUGUUAAUAAGUGACAGUGAAGCUGGAAGAAAAAGGAAUCUGUAAGACCCCACACAGCCGGAGACAAGCCAGCAGCCUUCUUUUCCAAUGCCAAAUGGAUGCCAGUGCUCACUACUGACUAGUAUAGCAGAUGUCAAAGGGUUAAGAAGAACUUAAACAACCCACUGGUGGUUAUGCUCCCCUUUAAUCUCAGCACUCGGGAGGCAGAGGCAAGCAGAUCUCUUGAGUUUAAGGCCAGCCUGGCCUAUAGAGUGACUUCUAGGACAACCAGGGCUCUGUUCCACAGAGAAAACCUGUCUCAAAAACACAACAAAAAAGUAAAAGGGAAGAAGGAAAACUUAAGCUGGGCGUGGCAGCACAUCUGUAAUCCCAGCUGUCAGGAAGUCGAAGCAAAAUAUGUACUUACAGGGCCAUCCUCAGCUGAAUAGCCAGGGCAGCCAGGACUGUGGAACCCCUGUCCUUAGGAGAGAAAGGGGAGGGGGAAGGAAGGAGAGGGUUCCAUCCAUACCUUAAAGCAGUAAGGUUUUUUGUUUCUGAGGUGGUCUCAAACACAUCACUCUGAUUUCUAUGUGGAAGAGAGUGAUCUGGAACUCCUUAAUCUCCUCCUUCCUCCCAAACCGGUACAAGCAUGUACAAACAAACACACAUUUAUGUAAUGCUGAUGACCCAACUCAGGGCUUUGGACAUGUUAGGCAAGCAUUGUCCCAACUGAGCUGCAUCCCCAGCCUGAAAAGCACUUUUCUUAAACUUCAUUGUGUACUGGAAUCCCCAGAGAGACUUGUCAGCACACAGGCUGCCUAGCUAACCUCCAGGAUUUCUGAUGUAGUAGGUCUGGGUGGAGCCUGAGAAUUUCACAGCAGAUCACAGCUGCUGCUGGGAAGACUACAGUUGGAGAAUCGCUGCCUUAAAAUCUUCCCUGCAACCAGGGAGAUGAGUUUUGCUGUUCUGGUUAUUGGAAGUGCCAUACUACAUAGAAGUAUGAUUCCAUUCCUGCUCUUGACACUCACACCUGUAGUCUUCAUUAGUAUCCUGAUGUUUUUCAAAGCUGAGAACAUCCAAACCCCACUCCUCCGUCUUCCUUCCCUGUUUGUCUCAGCCCCUUGGUUCUGGCUGCCCUCUGAGGUCCUGCCCAUGCUCCCUGGUCUGUUCUCCUUGGCCGACCAUCUUUUCAUAGACACUGAUGUCUCAUUCUCCCUUUCCUCCUUUCUGUGCAUCCUCUUCUCCAGUUGUUCAUCUAGCACACACAUCCUUAGGAUUAUUCUGGUUCCGAGCGGUCCAGACUUACUGCCUUGUCUUCCUUGCAGUCUAGAAAAUGAGUAUUGACAGUGCAGUGUAAUAUGGUUUGAAAGAGGGAGGAGCCCGUCGGAGGUGGGAUAGGUGGAUUUCUCCAUCUUCUCAUUCACAAAUGUCUGACCAGCUCAGUCAUUCAUUCUUCAGAAUCUGCCCAUUCUGCACAUUGUUCUUUGAUCCCAUUUUUCUCACAGUCCUGAUGCUCUCAGACAACUCCCAAAUCCCCUUACUGAACCAGGGCUCAGUCUGCAUUGUCCAGGAACUCCUGCUCCUAGCUGGUGUGACAUUCACAUUCAGACCUUUACUUGGAAGACUACCCUCUCUAGUUAUCUGGCCAGCUCCAAGCUGUUGGGGAAUCGAGGGGAUCUCUCUCUCUCUCUCUCUCUCUCUCUCUCUCUCUCUCUCUCUCUCUCUCUCUCUCUCUCUCUCCCUUCUUCUCCCCAAAAGUUUUUGAUAACACCACGCCCAGCUUUUUUCACAACUUCAUUUGCUCUUGAAGAAACAUCACAAUCCCUGACUGCCUAACAAUCUGGUCUCGACCUCUGGCACACCUCUAUAACUACCCUUGCCAUUUCCUGCCGUGGUUAGCCUCUGGUGACUGCUCACAUUUAUAGCUUGCACAAGCCUCAAUAAGGCAAGUUUUGUACAGUUCUGGGUUUCUCCUAAUUGAAUGAAUUGGAAAUGGGUGCUUUUUUUUCUCUAAAGGCAGGACAGAGAUUUCUCAUUAUUCCAGGGAAACAUCUCCUCACUAGUACAUUUGCAAACCAGCCUUUCAAAUAGCUAUUUCAAAAGCAAUAAGCAAGUGGUUCUGUGUCAAGGAUUACAAACACACCCUCAGGGUAUAAGUCAAGGGUGAGGAGGACAGUUCUAAUGUGACACAUUGGUCAAGAUUGUGGAAGGGUGUCAGACAUAUAUCUUUAAAGUGCUGUCUCUCAAACAGCUUAGAUGCAAGCGAAGGAGAUCUACUUAAAGAAACUAGGUGUAGAUAUCAUGAAGAUGUUGAUUCAAAAGAUGCUUGUGGGAAAUUUGAAGUGAAUUGUUACAAUGUGAGAAUGGGGGGAAAAGCAAUAUUUUGUAUUAUUGUAUCAUAUAUAUUGUUAUUUUAAAAUAAGCAUGUAUAAUUAAAUAAAUUAGAUACUAUAAAUAGACAUCUGACUAUUUGAUUGCUAUUUCUGGAAGUUUAAGUAUUAACAAUUGAUAUUUAUUUUUAAAAUAAAAAUAGUUUUAAAACUGUCCCAAAC
rnacentral:lncRNA from 1 species